CUGCCCAGCUCCUCUCGUCGACCCUACUGCCCAAACUGCCAGCAAACCACCACUCCUUCUCCUCCAAGCUCCAUCGCAACCGGUCGAAAAACCUGCUCUAGCUACACGAAAAUGGUAGCUCAAACCCCGAAUUAGCAGCCCGCCGAGCAGCUGUUGCUGCGUUCUUCUCCUUCGUCGACCACCUGCUUCGUCGACCACCUGCUUCGUCGCCCCAGUUCUUCUCCUUCAGUCCGAAGAACCAGUAGUCUGCUUCUUCCUCACAUCCAAACGACCCCUACUGCUUCAUCUUCUCAUAUCAGUCUGCUGCAUCGGAAGAAACCAGCAGCAGCCAACAUUUCGGGUCGCUGACAGUCUUGGUUCGAGCUUUCUAUUUCCGUUGAGGUCGUCGUUGUUCGUCGAGGUCCGGUACGUCGAGGUUGUUGUCCGAGGUUUCGUUGCAGUUCCAACGCAUCAGACAUUAAUCACAAGUUGGUUUCUUUUGCUCUCAAAAUUUCCUUUAGUGUUUGGGAGUAGUUAAAUCCUCUUUCCCAAAGUCUAUAUUAUCGUUUAUGUACAACUGUUUCAGUAGUUAUCAAAAUCCUCUUCCUCGAAGCUGCAGAGAACGAGGAAUCUAUUCAGAUGUUGCAUUACGAACAUGGCCAAAAGUACGAGCCACAUUUUGAUUAUUGUCAUGACAAAGUCAAUCAAGAGCUAGGCGGUCAUCGGGUGGCUACUGUUCUGAUGUUGAGAAGGGUGGUGAAAUAGUUUUUCCUAAUUCAGAGGCAAAAAAAACUCAGCCAAAGGGUGAUAACUGGUUUGAUUGUGCUAAAAAAGGAUAUGCAGGUACGUUUGGCACCAUGAAUAGGUUGAGUAUGACAUCUGUAGAUUUAUGAGUCCCUUCAGCAUAUUCAUGUAUUAUCUGUUGUUUUCAAAGUACAUUUUUUUGGAUUCGUGAUAAAAGGAUAAUAGGUAAGAAAACAAUGUCCUUUUGCAAAUUCUUUGUAAUAGAGCAUUUGCUUGUCCCUAUGAUGCAAAAUACAUGUUCCUUUCUGUGUUAAUGGAAAUGUCUUGCAGUACAGUGUCUUCAUCUUGGUUCAGCAUUCUGUAUCUUUUUUUCUUAUUCUCUUGAUUCUCGUUGUUACAUUGAAAAUCAAUGUAAGUU